UCCCUUCUUCGUUUUUCUGCCUGUUGAGUGGUUUCAGUGUGCUCUGCUGAGUUCACAGGACUCCCUUAUCUAGGCAGAAGCACAAACCGUGCCGUCCCCGGCUCUGCAGCCACAUCACCCCCACUGCCGUGGCUGCUCGUGGCUGAGGCUGUGCUCUGACAGCACGAUGUAUUCCUUGGAAAGCUCGAAAAGGAAGCAGUCUUAAAAAAAAAUCACAUUAAGCAUGGCAUGUGUUUCAUGCUCCUUUAGCAUCUUACCCUGCUACAGAGUGUUGUAAUUCCCCUGGCUGCUUUUGAAUUUCGUGUCACACUUUUAAAUGGGGUUUGGUACAUUUCUCUACAUGCUCUGUCAGUAGAGUUCUGCCAAUAACUGGGGAAGCAACUGCCGGCUGCGCUGCCUCGUGUGCUCGAGCGCACGGAUGUCACGGCUGGAGGGACCUGCAGCCUGGGACGACGCCGUCUUCCUACCGCUGGAGCCGCGGAGGCGCUUCUCAGCAAGGCAGGGGUUUUGUUAACCGAGUGUAUUAUCCUGUCCUAAAGUUUUAAAGCAAAUAAAUCAAAGCUACUUGUAGUGGUGUUAAAGAUUCUCGCCGUUAAUGAGGUAAAAUUAUCCUGAACUGGGAGGAGGUUUGACUUUGAAAGUUCACUCAGAGGAACGUUGAGGAGCGUCUUCCACGGAGCCACACAAACCUGGGCCGUCCUUAAACCAAGACUAAUUGUAGCUGCGUAGCUGUGCUAGGAAACGAGAUAAUAAUGGCGUAAUGGCAGACACCAACCUUUGGAAAACCCGAAUUCACGAGUGGUAGCUGACAGCUGGGACCCAUGGCAGGGAUCUCGAGGAAAAGGUGGGAGGGAGAGGACUGAAAAGUGCUUAACCACGGAGACAGUUGAGGGUAAUACAGACCUGGUGGAGAGGUAAUUACGUUUAUUGACCUUCUCUUCCUCCUGAAAACGGAGCUAUUUCUGACUGCUGUCUAACAGCUCUCUCAUUCACUCUCUUUGUGUUCCCAAGGACAUUCCCCGUUGAUAAACGUGCCCGAUGUGCCCACGCCUUGUCUCUGAUUGUCCGCGGUCGUGUCGAGCAGGUGUGAGGGAGGCUGAAUGCAGCUCCUCCUGGUGCUGAAGCAUGUGUUGCAUUUGAAGACGAGGUGUAAGGGCUGGAUUUCCGAGCAGGCUUUCAGGCGUGCCGUGGUUCUUUAAGCCAGCAAUGGUUUGCCAGAAAGCCAGCGGAUGCGGUUCCAAAGAGAGAGGAAAAGGGAUUGCUGAAGUGUGAAGUUCUUGUUUAGUCAUACCCCUUCUUCAGGGCAGCAUUACAGCUGCAGAUGCAGUUUAGAUACUUUGAGGUGUUUGCAAAGAUUAAUUAGCUGCCUAAGUGGGAACUGAACUCUGAUGAAAGUCUGGCCCUUGUGGGCACUGAGCCUCGGGCUUGGUAUGCUUUUGAAAAAUCUCACCCCGGAGGACUCGGUGGAUGCACUUUCCUGACCCGAGCUCAUGCAUUAGAGAAGAAGCUUAGAGUUAUUUCAGUACUUCCAGGAGUUCAGGCUCAUUCCUCAAAGCGAACAACCUCACACUUUCCUCGUCUACGAAGUGGCUAAAAUCCCCUGAGAGUGCCUUUUUUGGAGGAAGUUCAUACGAGGUAGCAACUCUGGAUAGCAGCAGGCUGCCUGGACAGGGCCGUGUACCGGUAAGUACAGCUAAGCAGUGGGAGCCCAGGCUGCAAUGCCUUCGUUUUACCGAUGCCCCCCGCAUGCUCCUGCCCUGUUCCCCUCCCCGCCUCGCUCCCCUGCUUCUCCUUCUCCUUCGCCCUGCUUUUAGGCUGCCUGCUGACUUGGUGCAUUUUGCAAACUUGCAAUUUCACGCUGCAUUUGUUGCCUUGGCAACAUAAAAGGGGAGAUCAAAGUGUGUGUGUGGGGGGAGUUAAAAAUAAAAAACAACCCCAAACCCUCUUAAGUCAGCCCCUUGUCUUGUGCAUUGCCCGUGCACCACUGGACGGGUGGGUACCUUGGCAGCGGAGUUGUAAGGAGCCUUUGACCGCUCCCAGCUGCUGCGGAGACAUCACAGGGGACCCAGACCUCUUUCCCUCCCCUCCUCAAGCUGCUGUCACCCAUCCCUCUCUUAGAGGGUGGCCGAGAGCCUGCAGGAUGCUGGAGCAGGGGCUGAAGCUUGCUCAGGUCCCUCCACCCCUCCUCUUCCCAGGCGCUGUGGCUAAAGGAGCAGCAGCCCUUAAAUGAAAACUUUACGGCGAGGCGCUGCUGACACUUUUUCAUUAUGAAGAUACAUGGGGUGGCUGGUAGCUAAUGAAUGUCAGUGCUCAAAAGGAUAAUCUCUGCUUCUCUCUGAUACAAUUUAACAUCGUAUUUCCCUAAUUUGAGGCUGAUUUAGUCGCUGGGGUAUUUGGAUGCCUCUUCUAUGGUGCCGAUAGUUAAUUAAACAGAUGUUGCAGAGGGAAUCAUUAAUUUUAGUGCUGCAGAUGGGAGCGGAAUGACUUUGCGAAGUUAAUGUUUCAGCAAAACAAUAGGCUUCUGUCAUCAGUUGGUAUAAACCAAGUAAAUUAAGAGAACAAGUAGAGUAAAGGAGAUAGCUUUGAAAGAAUAUCAAUUAUUCAUUUCAGAAUUAUACUUUUUCCCCCCAUAAAUCAUUAUGGGAGGAGAGGAGGAGAAAAUCUGUAAAACCUGGGAAGAGGGCAAGAGAAGAGUCCCUGAGACGGCAGCCUGGGGGAGAGUUUGACGCUGCUCCCACCCUUGCUCGAGAGCAGCAGGGCUCCGGCAGGACCACGGGGAGCCAGCAGUGCCUUGGAACCACGGUGCCGCUUCGGGCAAGUCCAGGAAAAAUUUCCUGGAGCACCUGAAAUCACAUCCAUAGAGACAGCUGUGGUUUUCCGUGCUUUAAAAGCAGGUGGGCGCAAGCAGCUUCAUUUUAUUUUGGAGGCUGUGAUGCUUUUUUUGCUCCAGGCUGGGUGUCCUGUGCCUGUUGCCAAGUUUUCCUAGGUUUUUGUAUGUAUAAAAGCACCUGCAUGUGGUGACAGUUGUCUAAGGGGAAGCUGGUGUGUUUGAGAACUUGGACUUAGCAGUGUAAUAAGCCUCUAAACACUCGUGGAAAAAACUUGCUGUAGGGUUGCAACUAUGCAUCAGAUGUGGCACCAAGUCUAUGGCUAGGGGAGGAAGAACUUCA